rnacentral:lncRNA from 1 species
GCGGUGGCUGCGGGAUUGGACCUCUGCGCCCACGUGGCCGGCCAAGAUUCACUUGUCUGGGGCCAACUGUCACCUCUAAUAUAACUUACUAAUUCCUGGCAGGUCUCCUUUCAGCGGAAUUUUGCUAGAAGUUCCUCAGUAGGUAGAAUGUAGCUGUUUUAAUGGGUGUUUCUGAUCCGGUUAAUGUGGAGAUACUGAAAGUGCUGCUUCCUUGCCGGCCGCCAUGUUGGAUCCCAAGAAAUUACAAGUUUGAGUCUAAUCACAGUUUAAUACGCAAACUUCACUCAAAAUAUUAAAUACUUUGUGUUCAAGUCUAGUCGGAAGAAAUACUAGACUAGGAAAAGAUUAAUAUAACGAAGUGCUGACCAGUUCAAGUGGUUAAAAAGGACAAAAAUGGUUUCAAAGCAGACUGCAUCUGUAGGUAGAAGCCACUACUUUUAUGAAGGAGAGUAUUCAGAGAGGGAGCUGAGCAAGUCCAAGAGCUGUGGCUCCCAAGGCCAAGAUUCUGGUUUUGGAUACAUGUCUCUGGGCUGCUGAAAGCUUCAUUGGCCUGACUUGGGGCAGCUUAUCCACCAUGAGCCACCCGUUGAAGUUAGUAUACUGGAGCUGGUCCAAGAGAAGCUGACUGCCAGCAUGCCCAAGAAACCUGUUGAAGAGUGAGUGCCACUGAGCAUCCCAAACACAGAGGAAGCAAAGUACAUUGCAGCCAGGAAGACAAGACCUUUUCUCUGCCAUACCUUCCCACUUCUCUCCAGUGUCCUCUAUUGACAAAGCCCAACACUGCACCACCUGGCAAGGGAGAACUGUUUAGUUGGUGUAGCUGAGAUAAUAAAGCAAAGCAGAGUGAAUUUGGAGCUGAAUAUAAGACAAUAACUUACACAGGCAUUUUUCACUCACAACCCAAUAGGGCACACACCCCCACUGAAAAACACUGAAAUAGAUACUGAGUUUUAUUUAUUUUGUUGUUGUUUUUUAAAAUUCUGAUUAUCGUGUAAUAAUUGUACAUAUUAAUGGUAUACAGUGUAAUAUUUCAAUACACGCAUACAAGCCUGCAUUGCAUUUCCAAUCCGCCUCUCUGUAUAACUUCUUUCUGUUGGAGCCUCCAGCCCCUUUGUUCUAGAUCUUCAUAGAAUAUAUAAUUGGUUAUAGUGAACUAGAGUCACUUAGAGUCCCGCAGAACCCCAGGAAGUGUGUCGUCUCACAUCUAUCACCAUGUUUCAUCCUUUCAUCCUCACACAGGGAGUUAGUAUUGGUCUAGACACCACUCCAUUUUUAGGAAAGCAAGGCAGAAGGUAUUUUAUUAUCUAUCAUUGUUAGUUUAGCUACCAACCACAACAGAACUUGUCUCUUGUAAAGUCCAGUGGGCUUCCUGUAAGGUAUUUUACAUUCUGAAGUGAAGAAUUAUAGCAUAAAUGCUUCUUGGUUCUUUCAAGAAGUCAACACUUUACAAACACUUGGCAACUUACUACAUGUCAUCUUAUUUCAGAUAAGAGAAUGAUCACCUUGAAUUGAGUUUACAUGUCCAUAACACAUUUGAAAAGGACAUGAGCAAGAUCUCAUUUGCAUGGGAAUAAUCCUAUGCCCGACUUUUGAGAUUCCAGUUUUAACCACAUAGUUUCUAAAGUCUCACCAUGAUGAACUAGAACCAACUACUAUUCUCUUUUGCUGGAACUCAGUUUCUUCUGUUAAAAGUAAGGAGUAUUUCCUUUUGUUUAUCCCAAACUUCCUCAUAAUUUUCUAAUUUUGGAGCAUCAAUGAUCAGAGUUUGCCAAUAUGAUUUGGAACAAAGAAUUUCAUUGGCAAUCGUUCUGCUCACUUUUUCAAACUGUAUGAUCCCAUCAUUUACAGUUAAAAAAUGGGGAUACACCUGACUUUUAAGAUCCAACCUUAUUUUGUAUCCUAGACUCAUACCCUACAUUUCACUUCUUAAAUUAAUAAAAAUAUUCUAUGGUUUAAUUUCUAUUGGUUUCUUUGCAAAUUCUCACAGUAAAAUGCUCCCACACCAUCACUUCUCCUCUUGAAAGGCUAUUUGAACCUCCUCAUCCAUCCCAGAGCCCAUAUUAUUUAGGAAGCAUUUCAAGAACUUUUC